rnacentral:rRNA from 1 species
CCCCUAGACGUUCUGGGCUGCACGCGCGCUACAAUAAUACGCACAGCGAGUAUCACCGAGCUCGAAAGGGCAAGGUAAACAAUAGAAAAGGUACUGUAAUGGUUAUAGAUCCUUGUAAUUAUUGAUCUUCAACGAGGAAUUCCUAGUAAGUAUGUGUCAUCAUCACGCACUGAUUACGUCCCUGCCCUUUGUACACACCGCCCGUCGCUACUGCCAACUGAGAUGGGUCCUGAAUUGUUAGGAACGCCCGUCAAGGGGCCUACCCGGUCCCUAGUGCGGUGACGAGAAUAACUGUAAAUGGCAUAUCUUGUAGGGAGUAAAAGUCGUAACA